rnacentral:rRNA from 1 species
GAUGAACGCUGGCGGCGUGCCUAAUACAUGCAAGUCGAGCGAACGGACGAGAAGCUUGCUUCUCUGAUGUUAGCGGCGGACGGGUGAGUAACACGUGGAUAACCUACCUAUAAGACUGGGAUAACUUCGGGAAACCGGAGCUAAUCCCGGAUAAUAUUUUGAACCGCAUGGUUCAAAAGUGAAAGACGGUCUUGCUGUCACUUAUAGAUGGAUCCGCGCUGCAUUAGCUAGUUGGUAAGGUAACGGCUUACCAAGGCAACGAUGCAUAGCCGACCUGAGAGGGGGAUCGGCCACACGAGAACUGAGACACGGACCAGACUCCUACGGGAGGCAGCAGUAGGGAAUCUGCCGCAAUGGGCGAAAGCCUGACGGAGCAACGCCGCGUGAGUGAUGAAGGUCUUCGGAUCGUAAAACUCUGUUAUUAGGGAAGAACAGAUGUGUAAGUAACUGUGCACAUCUUGACGGUACCGAAUCAGAAAGCCACGGCUAACUACGUG